AGUAACACGUGGAUAACCUACCUAUAAGACUGGGAUAACUUCGGGAAACCGGAGCUAAUACCGGAUAACAUGUUGAACCGCAUGGUUCAACAGUGAAAGACGGUCUUGCUGUCACUUAUAGAUGGAUCCGCGCCGCAUUAGCUAGUUGGUAAGGUAACGGCUUACCAAGGCAACGAUGCGUAGCCGACCUGAGAGGGUGAUCAGCCACACUGGAACUGAGACACGGUCCAG
rnacentral:rRNA from 1 species